rnacentral:rRNA from 1 species
UGCCUAACACAUGCAAGUCGAACGUGAUCCCGCCUUCGGGCGGGUGAAAGUGGCGGACGGGUGAGUAACGCGUAAGUAAUCUACCUUUGAGACGGGGAUAACCCUGCGAAAGCGGGGCUAAUACCCGAUAUGCUCACAGGGCCUUCGGGCCUAGUGAGGAAAUGUUUUUCGCUCAAAGAUGAGCUUGCGUCUGAUUAGCUAGUUGGCGGGGUAAUGGCCCACCAAGGCUACGAUCGGUAGCUGGUCUGAGAGGACGAUCAGCCACACUGGAACUGAGACACGGUCCAGACUCCUACGGGAGGCAGCAGUGGGGAAUUUUGGACAAUGGGCGAAAGCCUGAUCCAGCAACGCCGCGUGAGUGACGAAGUCCUUCGGGAUGUAAAGCUC